rnacentral:rRNA from 1 species
UGCAAGUCGAGCGAACAGACGAGGAGCUUGCUCCUCUGACGUUAGCGGCGGACGGGUGAGUAACACGUGGAUAACCUACCUAUAAGACUGGGAUAACUUCGGGAAACCGGAGCUAAUACCGGAUAAUAUAUUGAACCGCAUGGUUCAAUAGUGAAAGACGGUUUUGCUGUCACUUAUAGAUGGAUCCGCGCCGCAUUAGCUAGUUGGUAAGGUAACGGCUUACCAAGGCAACGAUGCGUAGCCGACCUGAGAGGGUGAUCGGCCACACUGGAACUGAGACACGGUCCGGACUCCUACGGGAGGCAGCAGUAGGGAAUCUUCCGCAAUGGGCGAAAGCCUGACGGAGCAACGCCGCGUGAGUGAUGAAGGUCUUCGGAUCGUAAAACUCUGUUAUUAGGGAAGAACAAAUGUGUAAGUAACUAUGCACGUCUUGACGGUACCUAAUCAGAAAGCCACGGCUAACUACGUGCCAGCAGCCGCGGUAAUACGUAGGUGGCAAGCGUUAUCCGGAAUUAUUGGGCGUAAAGCGCGCGUAGGCGGUUUUUUAAGUCUGAUGUGAAAGCCCACGGCUCAACCGUGGAGGGUCAUUGGAAACUGGAAAACUUGAGUGCAGAAGAGGAAAGUGGAAUUCCAUGUGUAGCGGUGAAAUGCGCAGAGAUAUGGAGGAACACCAGUGGCGAAGGCGACUUUCUGGUCUGUAACUGACGCUGAUGUGCGAAA